rnacentral:rRNA from 1 species
GGAGUAACCUUUUAGGAGCUAGCCGUCGAAGGUGGGACAAAUGAUUGGGGUGAAGUCGUAACAAGGUAGCCGUAUCGGAAGGUGCGGCUGGAUCACCUCCUUU